rnacentral:lncRNA from 1 species
UGCGGCCCACAUUCCCAUCGAAAUCGGCCCACAACUCUCUUUUGCUGUUUUAUUACUUUUUUACAGCUUAAUCCACUAUUUUCUGCAAUUUACUUUUUAGUACAAUGUAUGGAGAGGUAUAAGAAGCAGAUGUGACUAAUAAGAAGGACAUCAAUGAAUGAAAUGAAUUAGCAUCUUCUUCCCCAAAACUUCUUCUCCUCUAAACCUUUCUUCCCCAAAUUCUCCUCUAUCUCUAAUCCCCACUUCUAAUCUCUAUCCUAAUUCCUUAUCCCUUCCCUCUCCCCCAAUUCUUAUCUUCUCUUCUUUACUUCUAAUCCCCCAAUCCUCAUCUCUCUCUCUCUCUUACCUCAUCUAGCCUCUAUUACCUCGGAAUUCCAGCAGGAAGCCACUAUCAUCCCCGUCGCCGUCCACGCCUCGGCAAGUUCUCAUCAUCG